rnacentral:rRNA from 1 species
ACAGCAGCAGCCGCGGGAAUACGUAGGUCCCGAGCGUUGUCCGGAUUUAUUGGGCGUAAAGCGAGCGCAGGCGGUUAGAUAAGUCUGAAGUUAAAGGCUGUGGCUUAACCAUAGUACGCUUUGGAAACUGUUUAACUUGAGUGCAAGAGGGGAGAGUGGAAUUCCAUGUGUAGCGGUGAAAUGCGUAGAUAUAUGGAGGAACACCGGUGGCGAAAGCGGCUCCCUGGUCUGUCACUGACGCUGAGGCUCGAAAGCGUGGGUAGCGAACAGGAUUAGAUACCCGGGUAGUCCCUGUCUCUUAUACA